GUGCUGGCUUCGGCAGCACAUAUACUAAAAUUGGAACGAUACAGAGAUGAUUGGCAUGGCCCCUGUGAACGGGUGACAUGCAAAUUUGUGAAGCGUUCCAUAGUUUU